GACGAACGCUGGCGGCGUGCCUAAUGCAUGCAAGUAGAACGCUGAAGGAGGAGCUUGCUUCUCCGGAUGAGUUGCGAACGGGUGAGUAACGCGUAGGUAACCUGCCUGGUAGCGGGGGAUAACUAUUGGAAACGAUAUCUAAUACCGCAUAACAGUAGAUGUUGCAUGACAUUUGCUUAAAAGGUGCAAUUGCAUCACUACCAGAUGGACCUGCGUUGUAUUAGCUAGUUGGUGAGGUAACGGCUCACCAAGGCGACAAUACAUAGCCGACCUGAGAGGGUGAUCGGCCACACUGGGACUGAGACACGGCCCAGACUCCUACGGGAGGCAGCAGUAGGGAAUCUUCGGCAAUGGACGGAAGUCUGACCGAGCAACGCCGCGUGAGUGAAGAAGGUUUUCGGAUCGUAAAGCUCUGUUGUAAGAGAAGAACGAGUGUGAGAGUGGAAAGUUCACACUGUGACGGUAUCUUACCAGAAAGGGACGGCUAACUACGUG
rnacentral:rRNA from 1 species